AUUUAUUUUUAGAUGUUAUAAUUGCCCACAACGAAUCACAAUUUUAAUAUAUAAUUUAAUCUAAUCUAAUCUAAUUUAAUCUAAUAUUUGCUCUUGAUUUGCUCCGACUUAACUAUUGUGCUGUAAAGAGAAUAAUCCACAUUUAUAAAGUGUCACGCGACCAUUGAAAAAGUUAAUUUUGAAGAUAAAUUCGAUUUUAUUUGUAACAAUUUUGUGUUAGACUAUUAAUUUAUUCACGAUAGUUUGUAAAAGAAGUUUGUAUCCCUUACAUGAUGCGUUACUUACUAAUUUAAUGUAUGUGACUUUUGUAAUGGAUAUUAAUGUAAGAUAUAUUUCAAACUUUACUUUUAUUUAAAAAUUUUAUUUUAAUAUGAUUAACUCAAAAUCGAAAACAAAAAAUGUAUUAGUUAUUCAGGGAUCGGAGACCCUUGAGGAUCCCCUAUUAUUAUUCGGGGAGGGGAUGAUAAUUCUCUCAAGUAAUUUUGACGGGGACGGGGAGGGGACGAGGACAUAUACAAAAUAUCGGGAAUAGGUACGGGGAGAUUGAUCCCCUCCCCUCCCCUCCCCAUUGCCAUCCCUAACAAGUAUAUCGUUAUUUAGGGCAAAACUAUGGUACCACAGUUGUAUGGUACCACAACUGGAUCCAAUCAUUAGAUUCAGUUCUGGUGACAACUGUGGGUUAGAUUCAAUAGUUGGAUCCAGCUGUAGUACCAUACAACUGUGGCACCAUAGCUGGACCCCAUUACUUAUUUCAAUAUAUACUAAUUUAUGAAAAUAGUAAUAAAAUCAUUAGAUUCAGUUCUGGUGACAACUGUGAGUUAGAUUCAAUAGUUGGAUCCAGCUGUGGUACCAUACAACUGUGGCACCAUAGUUGGACCCCGUUACUUAUAUCAAUAUAUACUAAUUUAUGAAAAUAGUAAUAAAAAAUAUUUAAACUAAUUAAAACGUUGUAAUACCAUACAACUGUGGCACCAUAGUUGGACCAUGUUAUUUAUAUAAAUAUAUACUAAUUUAUGAAAAUAGUAAUAAAAAAUAUUUAAACUAAUUAAAACAGGUACACAUUUUUAUUUACGUAUUUUAUUGUCAGCCGCACGAGUUUGUCAAGGUUAUGAUAAAGACAAACCCUGUUUGGUUUUUUAAUGCCUUCAAUAUUACGGCACCCCAAACAAUAAACAUGAUUCGUGACUUUGCCAUUUACUUGAAUCGAGUGGGAAAAUGUAUGAUGAUUGAUGCACAAAAGAUUAGGUAAACCGUAAAUGCUUGUGGGUCUUCAUAUUUUGAAUGGAAUAUAAAUUUAACUCUUAUUAAAAUAAAAGUGUCUCUUUCAUGAGCCUACCUACCAACAUCAUUGAAUGAUUGAAUCAGGUACAGUGGAUGCUCGUCACUGGUACAACCGGUUUUUAAUCGGUUAAUAUAAUAAAAGGGUAAUUUUUAAAAAUCUUCCCUGAGGUUUGGACUUGUUGCAAGUAGAUGGCGAGAAUUUAUUUAUUUGUAAAAAAUCUCCUACCGUU
rnacentral:lncRNA from 1 species